UAUUUUACUAAAUCCAAUACUAAUAUUUUUGGUAAGUUCCGUGUACUGAUAUUCAUUUAUUAUUCUAAAAUACUGUAAAUCAGAAGUAGUGGUAUGCUCGUCCAGAUCCCAAAUCCCUCAUCCUACCAUGCCACUCAUUUAAAAUGCCUUGCGUUACGUAUUUCGUCACAGAUUCCCAACACCUUUGCAACAUUUAUAAUUACUUAUGUUACUGCAGCUAAUUACAUGAGUUGAAAUGAAAUUUUAUGGUGUCUCGUGAGCUAUUUUAAAUAAUUAUUCAUUAUAAUCUGGAUUACAGUUUAUGGUAUGUUAUAUCUUGGGAUCUCAAAAGAUAUGGAUCCCCUGUAAUAUUCUGUAAUUUUAUAUCAUUUGGCUCCUUUUUCGUUGAGCCGUGGAUUGUAUUCCCAGUAGUUUGUUCUUAGGAGUGACUACUGGAAGCUUUCUUCGCUCUGGAGAUUGAACAAGACUUCUACCGGAUUGAAGCAGUGAGGUCGUGGGAAGGUCCAAGUCGUCUGUUGUAUGCACUCUCGUUCUGGAGAUUAUAAGGUGAAAAAUGACUGUACACCUGAAGGUUCAAUUUCUUAUGGCUUUGGAAGUUAUUCGAAGCCUUGAUUAGCAGUGUCCUACAUUUUAUUUCACCUUCAAGUUAUUGAAGUCAUUACUAUCAGCGUUUUCAAUUAUUUGACCUCAUUAUGUAUAUUUCAAUUU
rnacentral:lncRNA from 1 species